rnacentral:rRNA from 1 species
AUGCAGGAGCUCAGCAGCCCAGGACGGCGGACCGGCAUCUUCGGCAGCGUGCAGGAGAGCGCGCGCUCCCUGCUGGGCGCCGUCCGCGACACCUUCUCCGGCGGCGUCCGGAACACAACCACCGCCCACGACAGCCACUCCACCGGCGCCAUGGGGACCGCGGGGGAGAAGCUCAAUGAGUACGGGAGCUACGCAUCGCAGAAGGCCGAGGAAGAGAAGGAGAGCGCGAGUGAGAUGGCCGACACAGCCGCGGGAAAGACCAAGGAGACCAAGGACGCGGCGGCGGAGAAGACGAGGGAGACGGCGGACACCCGUGGUCGCCACGCUCAGGGCCGGUGCCGGUGCCGGUGCCGGGGACGCCCGUAG